rnacentral:rRNA from 1 species
GAAUAUUGGACAAUGGGGGCAACCCUGAUCCAGCCAUGCCGCGUGUGUGAAGAAGGUCUUCGGAUUGUAAAGCACUUUAAGUUGGGAGGAAGGGCUUUAGGUUAAUACCCUGAAGUUUUGACGUUACCAGCAGAAUAAGCACCGGCUAACCCUGUGCCAGCAUCCGCGGGAAUCCAGCGGGUGCAAGCGUUAAUGGGAAUUACUGGGCGUAAAGCGCGCGUAUGUGGUUCAGUAAGAUGGGUGUGAAAUCCCCGGGCUUAACCUGGGAACUGCUUUCAUAACUGCUGAGCUAGAGUACGGUAGAGGGUAGUGGAAUUUCCUGUGUAGCGGUGAAAUGCGUAGAUAUAGGAAGGAACACCAGUGGCGAAGGCGACUACCUGGACUGAUACUGACACUGAGGUGCGAAAGCGUGGGGAGCAAACA